CCUACGGGCGGCAGCAGUGGGGAAUAUUGCACAAUGGGCGCAAGCCUGAUGCAGCCAUGCCGCGUGUGUGAAGAAGGCCUUCGGGUUGUAAAGCACUUUCAGCGGGGAGGAAGGCGUUAAGGUUAAUAACCUUGUCGAUUGACGUUACCCGCAGAAGAAGCACCGGCUAACUCCGUGCCAGCAGCCGCGGUAAUACGGAGGGUGCAAGCGUUAAUCGGAAUUACUGGGCGUAAAGCGCACGCAGGCGGUCUGUCAAGUCGGAUGUGAAAUCCCCGGGCUCAACCUGGGAACUGCAUUCGAAACUGGCAGGCUAGAGUCUUGUAGAGGGGGGUAGAAUUCCAGGUGUAGCGGUGAAAUGCGUAGAGAUCUGGAGGAAUACCGGUGGCGAAGGCGGCCCCCUGGACAAAGACUGACGCUCAGGUGCGAAAGCGUAGGGAGCAAACAGGAUUAGAUACCCCAGUAGUC
rnacentral:rRNA from 1 species